rnacentral:rRNA from 1 species
UACGUAGGGCGCAAGCGUUGUCCGGAAUUUAUUGGGCGUAAAGAGCUCGUAGGCGGCUUGUCACGUCGGGUGUGAAAGCCCGGGGCUUAACCCCGGGUCUGCAUUCGAUACGGGCAGGCUAGAGUGUGGUAGGGGAGAUCGGAAUUCCUGGUGUAGCGGUGAAAUGCGCAGAUAUCAGGAGGAACACCGGUGGCGAAGGCGGAUCUCUGGGCCAUUACUGACGCUGAGGAGCGAAAGCGUGGGGAGCGAACAGG